rnacentral:rRNA from 1 species
UACGGAGGGUGCAAGCGUUAAUCGGAAUUACUGGGCGUAAAGCGCGCGUAGGUGGCUUGAUAAGCCGGUUGUGAAAGCCCCCGGGCUCAACCUGGGAACGGCAUCCGGAACUGUCAGGCUAGAGUGCAGGAGAGGAAGGUAGAAUUCCCGGUGUAGCGGUGAAAUGCGUAGAGAUCGGGAGGAAUACCAGUGGCGAAGGCGGCCUUCUGGACUGACACUGACACUGAGGUGCGAAAGCGUGGGUAGCAAACAGGAUUAGAUACCCGGGUAGU